GACGAACGCUGGCGGCGCGCCUAACACAUGCAAGUCGAACGGAGAAAGCAGCUUGCUGCUUUCUUAGUGGCGGACGGGUGAGUAACACGUGAGUAACCUGCCUUUCAGAGGGGGAUAACGUUUGGAAACGAACGCUAAUACCGCAUAAAAUAUAUUUGUGGCAUCACAGGUAUAUCAAAGGAGCAAUCCACUGAGAGAUGGACUCGCGCCCGAUUAGAUAGUUGGUGAGGUAAUGGCUCACCAAGUCAGCGAUCGGUAGCCGGACUGAGAGGUUCAUCUGCCACAUUGGAACUGAGACACGGUCCAAACUCCUACGGGAGGCAG
rnacentral:rRNA from 1 species